rnacentral:rRNA from 1 species
AGACGUCUACAUUAGAUACCCCUGUAGUCCUAGCCGUAAACGAUACUCGCUAGGUGUCGGCCACGGUGCGACCGUUGUCGGUGCCGUAGGGAAGCCGUGAAGCGAGCCACCUGGGAAGUACGGCCGCAAGGCUGAACUUAAGGAAUUGCGGGAAGCACAACAACGGGUGGAGCUUGCGGUUUAAUUGGAUUCAACGCCGGAAAUCUUACCGGGACCGACAGCAACAUGAAGGCCAGGCUGAAGACUUUGCCGGAUUAGCUG